rnacentral:rRNA from 1 species
AUACGUAGGGGGCGAGCGUUGUCCGGAAUGAUUGGGCGUAAAGGGCGCGUAGGCGGCCCGGUAAGUCUGGAGUGAAAGUCCUGUUUUUAAGAUGGGAAUUGCUUUGGAUACUGUCGGGCUUGAGUGCAGGAGAGGUAAGUGGAAUUCCCAGCGUAGCGGUGAAAUGCGUAGAGAUUGGGAGGAACACCAGUGGCGAAGGCGACUUACUGGACUGUAACUGACGCUGAGGAGCGAAAGUGUGGGGAGCAAACAGGAGUAGAUACCCUGGUAGUCCACACUGUAAACGAUGAAUGCUAGGUGUAGGGGGUAUCGACCCCUUCUGUGCCGCAGUCAACACAAUAAGCGUUCAGCCUGGGGAGUACGGCCUCAAGGUUGAAACUCAAAGGAAUUGACGGGG